UUUUCUCUCUCCCACGCCUGCGUUGUUCUGGCUAUCCGUCCUUUGCGUCUUUGUCUCGCCGAUUAUUCACGGCUGUUUUCUUCUCGGAAAACUAACGAUCUCUGGUGAGUUUUUUGCGUUUCUUGCCGUGUCUAAUUUCAAUUUUUUUUUUCGUUGUUUGGGUGUGUGUGGCUGUGCGAUGCAGUUCGAUUUUUGGUUUCAGGAAAAGUUAUCAAUGCGAUCUAAGGUUUUUUUGGUGAGUUUUCUGCUUUGCUGAUUGUAUGUUGUUUGAUUCUUUUUUCGUGCUUUGGGUCUGCCUUUCUGAUAUGCUUUCAUAUUUGGCUUCAGCAAAAGAAGUUUGAAUUUUGGCCUUUCUGUCUGCAACCUGGCAAGCUGUUUGCGAUCAAGAUCAAUCCUGCAAACCGCUUCAAUAACAUGUCUUGGAACUCAAUUGGCCACUAUCAGCGCAGCCUCCAUAUUCUUGGUAAUACACCAGAAGCAAUCAUCUCAUGGCUUGAAAAGGAUGGAAAGACAAAUCCAGGGCAAUCACAUAGCAUUAGCUCAUCAGACAUAAUCAACGUUUGGAAAUGCUUUGUCUUAUUUAUUUAUUUAUUUGAUUAACAAUUCAAACUUAUCUUUGUAUUUAUUAGUAUCUUCAUUUCAUUGACAAUUCAAGCAUAUCUUUUUUGUGUUUUUUUUUUUUUCUGAGUGUUUAAUUUUAUUUGAUUUUCUUAAUUUGUUCAAAGGAUGCUUUGGUUAGUAGCCAUCUUAUUUAAUGAUUUUUUUUUCUUUUGGUUUUUGAGCACCAAUGGUAUUGGUGAAUGGUGAAGAGGUUUGUAUGGGUUCAUGUAUCUUAAACAUGUAGUGAGAAGUGAGGGUUUUGUUUUAGUAUUUUAGAUAAUUUGAGGAACAUGUAGAUACUAAGAUUUGUGGUUGCUUUCUUAAACCAUGAUAAAGCAGUCCAUGUAAUUUUAACAUAGAUAUAAUUUUUUUAUCUAAUGCAUGAGUAUAUGAAAUGUUAAUACGAUAAUAUAUUGGGCAACACUAUGUGAUUUAAAAUGCGAAGAGAGACAAUGAACCAUGUUUGAUAUUUUAUUUGUGUUGGUUGUUUUAAAUUUGAGCUUUUUUGAGUUGGAUUCAU